ACUCAUGCCAGUCCAAGAUGUAGGAACGGCAUCUACAUCCCAUGGAUAACUAGGGCUUGGACUGUAUAGAAGUGAUACAUCCAGAAGUACAUCCCCAUGGUACACUGGGACCUCCACCACUGGAGACCAGGGUAAAGAAGGACCCUGCUGCAGGGAUCCAUGUGGUGGUGCUGCCACCUCAGCCUCAGGAGGCUUGCCAUCCAUGCUGAGGUGGUCCUCAAGCUGAUCAGCAUCCAGAAGAUUCAGCAGAGCUGGGCUGUGGGAAAACUGUGGGAAGGCUUCUUGAGGAACAAGGAAGUCCAAAAGCUCCUGAUCAAGAAUGCAACAGAGCCGAACGACAUAUUUUGCUUCCACCUUCUCUCAGACAAACCCAUUACACAGAAGGGAAUAAGAGUUCACUCUUCUGAUAAAUAGUUCAAAAAGGACCGAGUGGCCUGGGUAUUGGUCACCGUGCUGUUCCUUGAACCAGGGUGUUUGCCUUGCUUAAAAGGCAACAUUUGGUGCCGAAACCCGGGAGAAUUCGAAAAGCAGGAUUCAAACCCAGAAAGCGAGGGUUGCCUGGAAUACAGGAGCAGCGGUCAGGACCAGCUGGACUAGUCCUGGUGAGGGAGACGUCCUGCAUCCCGAAGGAAGAUGAAAGCCCUGAUAAAGGGUCCUGUACCACCUGGAUGAAGAGUUGGUCCUGCAAGCAGAGAGACUCACCUGACUUCAGAAAAGAGAGCUGCUGACAGGACUGUCAAUAGCAAUGCUGCUUAACCUGAGAGCAACUGGUGCUGCCACAGGUGUCUCUGCCAUCGUGACCCAACAACAGAGACUGUCUCAGCUACAAAUGACAAUUGAUGAAGACUUGCAGAUAAUUGAAAAACUGAGUUUUAGAUAAACUUGUGUCUUUCGUUAAGAGCCGACUAGAAAGAAUUAACAUCUGGUUUGUGGAAAAGCAACAGAUGCUCUAAAAAUACACUUAGUCACCGCAUGUGCCUUAUGUUUGCUAAUGAAAAACUGCAGUAUCUAUUUUAUAAGUUUUUAGCCUUUUAGUUUAGUGUAUCCUAUAUUUUACUCAAGUUUAUAAUAUCUACUUUUAAAACUUUUUAUAAUAUAGAUAAGUUAGACAAAGUGUUUAGAGAUAAAUAUAUAGAAAAUGUUAGAACUUUUUAAGACUAAUACACCUUAUAUUCCAGCAAAUUAGUUAUGCAUAGAGAGGGGGGAAUAUGUAGAAGUAAAGCCCGGCACUCGGAAGAUAUCGGAAUGUAACGGAAAGAUAGUAACCCCCCCUCUCCGUUAGUAUGGUAAUGACUCCUGCAAUUAGCCAAUAGCACCUAGCUGUGAUGAAAGCAGAUGGGAGUAACACAGUGACCCUAGGUUAGAAAAUGUCAAAUUCUCCAGCAAUAAAUGCCAUUUGCCAUCCAUCACAUUGAUGUCUGUGUGCAAGGGACCGAGUGGCCUGGGUAUUGGUCACCGUGCUGGCUCCUGAACCAGGGUAUCUGCCUUGCUUAAAAGGCAACAGUGUACAGAGCUUGACAGUAGUUUUUAUUAUAUCUGGAGGAUUUUAGAUUUUCAUUCAACCAGACAACCUCGUUUUUCUUCAAACAAUAUUUUUAAUAAUGGCAUUAUUUGUCAUACAUAAUAAGGUUUAAUUGCACUCUUUACAACCCCACUGUGCUUGGGAAGUCAAUGGGUUUCAAAACUAAUUGUACUUUGAAAUUUUAAUGCCAGCAUCUCUUUUACUUAAUAUUGUAAAUGAUGUUUUAUUUGAAAGUGUUUUCUGUUUACCAAAAUUAUUAUGCAAAUUAAGUGUUCUAACACAUAUGCAUUAGACAUUUAAAUGAUAUUUG